UCCGACCCAACCUGUGAACGCUAAAUAUAAUUCGUGAAUGUGAAUAUUUCAGUGCUCUGUGAACAGUGGUUCGGAAUAGUACGCAGUUGAGUUCAAGUCGGUCCGCGAGCUACACAACAUCACAAUGGCCAGCGAUCUGAAGGAUGUUGAAAUUGAAAAGGCGCAGUUCGUCUUCUCCGUCUACGAUUGGGAAGGCUCUGGUGCGAUGGACGCCAUCGACCUCGGCAAUGCCCUCCGUGCGCUGAACCUGAACCCAACUCUGGACCUCAUCAACAAGAUGGGUGGCACUCAGAAGCGCGGCGAGAAGAAGAUCAAGUUCGACGAAUUCCUGCCGAUCUACUCGCAGGUCAAGAAGGAGAAGGACCAGGGCUGCUACGAGGACUUCCUCGAGUGUCUGAAGCUGUACGACAAGGAAGAGAAUGGCACCAUGCUGCUGGCUGAGCUGCAGCACAGCUUAACCGCUCUUGGUGAGAAGCUCGAUGAGGAUGAACUGGAAGCCGUCUUCAAGGACUGCAUGGACCCCGAGGACGAUGACGGUAACAUCCCAUACGGACCGUUCCUCAAGAAGAUGAUGGAUAACAUGGUCGUAAUUGACCACGUUAAGUAAACUCACCAUCAGCUCAAUUGUGUACUUUUUCAAGUCAUCCACUAAAUGUCAUCAAACGAAAAAAAAACAAGAAGCACACACAAAAAGAGUAUUCCAUAUCUUCAGAGAUUGUGUGACUACACGCCACCGGCUUAUUGAAAGAGCUGUUAUGUAAUCGAGCUAUUUAUAAUACAACAAAAAUAUCAAAGAGAACAACACCUUCGGAAGCAACAGCACAACAGACAGCGCCGAUGGCGAAACCUGGCGAGCAAGGAACAGCAGCGCAUCAGAACAUCAACGAAUGAGAUUUCCAGUUGAAACACAACAGCAAGUGACAACAAAGCAAACAACAACAACAACAAGAACAACAACAACAAGAAGAAGAACAUCAAGAACAAGAAACAAAACGAAUUACCGUUCAAGAACAUCGGAAUGUAAAAGAAAAAAAACGGAAGCGGUUAUUAAUAUUUUUCUGUUAAGAUUUAAAUAAAUUUCUACAUAAAGAGGUCAA